AUUAACCCGAACCAGCUGUAAUAACCCACACCUGCAACCUCAGGUGAAUUCAUACAAUAUACCACACAUUCCAACACUCGGAAUGAUGGCCUCUAUUUAUCGCAAUUGCCCACAAUAAACAAAUACUGAUAGUAAAACAUUCAUAUUAGCUAAAGUCUUAUCCCAACACCUUCACAUAUCGCCAACGGCAAAUGAAACACGCGAUAAACCGAACCUAUCUCUCAGAUCACCCAUUCAUGAGUCCAUUUCCUUUCUGAUUGAUACUACAACAUAUUUCGGAUCCAAACCUCGAUAUUAACUUUUUAACAAGCUGAAAUCAAAUAUGCUCGUACUCAUUAAUGACUCCAACGAUCGUCUCAACUACAACACGCCACUCGGGUGAUAUGACACCUCAACACCGGUCUAAACCACAACGUGCUCAACACAGGCACCAAUAAGAAAUUAUCUGAACACACUCAAACAAUGACAACUGACUCAAAUGAAAGAGCUGUAAUUCAAAUUCCUCCGUACGAUCACAGCACGGAACUGAGAUCCCAUCUCACAUCAUAGAAAUAGAGUACAUGAAUCCUCCUUGAAAGGUCAUAACAUCAUGUGGCCUUUCCACAACACGCAAUUCUAUCCAAACACUAUUACCCAUGAAACACCCCAAGUCACCAUGCUCACACAGACAGCCACGCACAUAUGGAGGUCUGAAGCCACAUGGAAUGUACUUUACUUGCCAACUAAGAGACAUGGAAUAUUCUUCACGCGCCCAUAACUCGGACUACAUAUUAAAGCACAAUAGGAAUCGAACACUCGACAGUUCAUCUGUUAUCCAUCAGACUUGUUCGUCACUACCAAUUUAUUUAGAUACACCUCGCAGUACUAACAUACACAUCACAUGGAUAUGCAGCCGCCAUACCGGACAAUAAGAACAACACUGAACUUCUAAGUUCAAAACACUUGCUCACACAUUCAGCACCUCGGUGCUUGCCAUACAGGCACAUAUACUAUUGAGCGCUCGCGUGCGCACACAGACGUGCGGAAGGAAUUUCAAGAGUUAUCUCAAACUGAAUCAAGUACGCACGAUAAGAAUUCCAAGAAUGGGAAGUUUUCCUAAAGGUUCUGCAGCCUCUCGAGGAUAAAUACAGACGUCUUCGUACCGAUCCGCGAGACUCUAAUAACCCUACUCAUGACUCGUAAGACCUAGUAACUUAGGCUCUGAUACCACUUGUCACAACCCAAAUUCCAUAUCCGCUCGUGAUGGCGCCUCUCGUGAAGACAAGGCCAGCCAAAAACCCCCCAAAUCCUCUUUAAACAGCUAUUAAACAUAAAUGAAUAGAAAUACUACUUAAUUGCAUUUAACUAUGAACUUUCAUUCCAAUACAACCAGAUCGGGGUGUCACAAGUCACGAGUAUCUAAUGAGUAGCGACACUACUACGGGACCAAUAAUGUAUAUAAAUACAAGAUGAAACCGGAUACAAAGAUGGAGUGCGGUGCCGCGAACGCAUGCGGUCACCUUCAACUACCACAAUAAGGCCUUCGGUCCUGCUAAUAAUCCGCUACCAGGUGAACAAUACCUGCAACUGCACGCAAGGUGCAAGGAGUAAAGUGAAUACUUCCAACUCAGUGGUAAUAAGAGAGAAUAAUAUUUGAGCGAUAAGAAAACACGCAUGAGCACACCAAACUGCUAUAAAAGACAGAACAACCCAUUUUGAGAAAAACCGAAAUACUGUAAAAAUCCCUUUUUGAAAAUCCCAAGUUCUGUUCAAAAUCUCAUAAAAUGUGCUUUUUCAACAAUUGCAAAGGUAAUUUCAACAAGUAGGAAAAAGUCAUAAACCUGCCCCUUGGGCUCAAUAUCAUCUUACAAUAUCCAACAUCAGCCUCUCGGGCUCAGCACUCCUUAACAUAUAACACCAGGGUAUCUGGUCAACAAGGCAAGUGACAGUAUGUAUGAAAAUGAUAUAUGAGUGCUAAACGUCGUGCCACGUAGUACAAACAGGUGUAAAUGCGUGAAUGCAAUGCAAUGCACAUGACCGCUACGGCGUGUAGCCGGAUCCAUGGUAUAUGAGUGCUAAAUGCCGUGCCACGUAGUACAAAUAGGAGAGAAUGCAUGAAUGAAAGAAUGCAAUGCAAUGCACAUGACCGCUACGGCGCGUAGCCCGAUCCAUUUGGGUACUCGCGCUCACUGUGGGGGUUCAGACUCUGGAAGGGCUCCUACAACCCAAGCGCGAUAUAAAUAUCACAUCGCUGCGGGUCGUGCAACCCGAUCCAUGCAAGUAUAUGCAUAUGCACACAUAAUGCUCGAGGCCUGAAAGCAUCCUCACAUCGCUCCUCAUGCCCUCACACAUGGACCUCGGCCUCAGACAGUCCAAAAAUAGUCAAAAAGCCCCUCGGGCAUCAGUAAAACAAUAAUACUCAGCUCAAAUGAUAGUUCAGAUAUCAGUUAAAACUCCAAGUUUGAUUAAAAUAUGGUUGAGUUCAUAAAACAGUGCAAAUCACAUGGACUGAGUUCACAAAAUAUUUCAAACAGUGAGGAAAACAGUGAUGAUAGUUCAUAAAGAGUUCAAACAAUCGACAAUAAGCCCCAAGUAUGGCAAUGAGCCCAAAU
rnacentral:lncRNA from 1 species